rnacentral:rRNA from 1 species
GACAGAGGGUGCAAACGUUGUUCGGAUUUACUGGGCGUAAAGCGCGUGUAGGCGGCUUGGCCAGUCGGAUGUGAAAGCCCACGGCUCAACCGUGGAAGCGCAUCCGAAACUGCUUCGCUCGAGUCUCGGAGAGGAAGGUGGAAUGCUUGGUGUAGAGGUGAAAUUCGUAGAUAUCAAGCAGAACACCUGCGGCGAAGGCGGCCUUCUGGACGAUGACUGACGCUGAGACGCGAAAGCGUGGGGAGCAAACAGG